UGCUUUAUUGAAACAUUAAGGAUGUUAGCCUU
rnacentral:piRNA from 1 species